rfam:Schistosoma haematobium scaffold1476_11, whole genome shotgun sequence.
AUCCAGUUGACUAGUUCCAAAUAAGACGAAACGCGCAUCCUGGAU